UGGGGAAUAUUGGACAAUGGGCGAAAGCCUGAUCCGGCCAUGCCGCGUGUGUGAAGAAGGUCUUCGGAUUGUAAAGCACUUUAAGUUGGGAGGAAGGGCAUUAACCUAAUACGUUAGUGUUUUGACGUUACCGACAGAAUAAGCACCGGCUAACUCUGUGCCAGCAGCCGCGGUAAUACAGAGGGUGCAAGCGUUAAUCGGAAUUACUGGGCGUAAAGCGCGCGUAGGUGGUUUGUUAAGUUGGAUGUGAAAUCCCCGGGCUCAACCUGGGAACUGCAUUCAAAACUGACUGACUAGAGUAUGGUAGAGGGUGGUGGAAUUUCCUGUGUAGCGGUGAAAUGCGUAGAUAUAGGAAGGAACACCAGUGGCGAAGGCGACCACCUGGACUAAUACUGACACUGAGGUGCGAAAGCGUGGGGAGCAAACA
rnacentral:rRNA from 1 species